rnacentral:rRNA from 1 species
GGAAGGUGCAAGCGUUAAUCGGAAUUACUGGGCGUAAAGCGCGCGUAGGCGGCUAGAUAAGUCGGGUGUGAAAGCCCUGGGCUCAACCUGGGAACUGCAUUCGAUACUGUCUAGCUAGAGUGUGGUAGAGGGAGGCGGAAUUCCGCAUGUAGCGGUGAAAUGCGUAGAGAUGCGGAGGAACACCAAUGGCGAAGGCAGCCUUCUGGACCAACACUGACGCUGAGGCGCGAAAGCGUGGGGAGCAAACAGGAUUAGAUACCCUGGUAGUCCACGCCCGUAAACGAUGUCAACUAGCCGUUGGGAGCAUUUUGGCUCUUGGUGGCGCAGCUAACGCGAUAAGUUGACCGCCUGGGGAGUACGGUCGCAAGAUUA